GACUGCGUGUCAGUUGUAAUGUGAUGGAAGCUUUCAGCAUCCAACGGGCGGUACUUGUGCCCCUGCGUGUUCUGUUUCUGAAACAGAAACUUUUCAUACAACCCUCAGCCUUGCAUCUGCUUCUUCAGUCUCUUUGUCACGAGUCCUCCCCGUUUUUUCGCACUGUCAGGUUCCGCAACGGCUACUUUAACGGCGAGCAUGCCGUGCCUCGUGUCUGGUAAUAACUGAUAGGGUACGAAGGAUCUUCCAAGUGAGCUCUCAACGAAAAACGGGAGAUUCCUCGUCUCCUUCGCACUGCUUUCGAUGUUUCCGUUUGCCUUCCUUCCCGUUGCAUUUGGGACAGCUCCAGCAUUCGUGGCAAACCAUUGAGCCAGACGAUUUCACAGGUGCUGCGACAGUUUUGUGCUGUGGACUUUGAGUUGCAGCGAGCACUCUUCUAGCCGGGUUUCUGCUUUCACGCGUUCCUUUCACAUCUUGUGUCAGUUCUGGAUAAAGCCUGGAGCGUCUGACGAGAUUCAGACAGAGUGGUCGUUCUGUUCUUCAAAACCGGAGUAACCCCUGUGGGUUACCUAUGUAAAGUCUUGUGUUUCGUCGUCUGUCAGUUGGCACCUUGCAUACAUCUUUGAGAAGGGGAAAGUGGGGGUUUUGCAGAACCGCUGCGUUUUGUGCGAUUGUCUGCCCUGUAAAAUAUCCCUGUCAAGUGAACUGCACUUCCGCUGUUUUGGUUUGCUCUGCUCGUCUUCUUCGUUCUUGUCACCACGGGUUGUGCUAAGGCAUCAAAUUCAGAACGGUUUCACAACGCGAUUUGCCGCUUUUCAACCCGGAGGGGUCUGUCGUUUUCAGAGCUCAGUUUUCACGCGAAUCAACGUCAUUGCUUCUUGUUCAUUCUUGUCUUCGCUUGUUCCUCGCCGUCGUCUCAUAUUCCGUCUGCAUCUUGUUUCCCCUUUCGUGUCUCGUCCUUCGUUAGGUCGCCUUGUCAAUUUCUCCGUCGUUCUGCUGAGAAGAGAGCCGGACUUCUUAGCUUCCUGAGAGAACCAAGUUCUCCGUUUUCUCACCUUUUGCUGGAAUAUACUCACGUUAGGCAGUGGAACAGUCAAACUCUAGUGUUGUGUUUUUUGUAUUGAAUUGAGCGCACAACAUCAAAAGUGGCAGGUGUCAAUCCUUUCUCGUCGGUUUCUCGCAAUUUUCUGGAGAGAUCUACUCUUCCCGUCUUCUUUGCAUCUGUUCUCAC
rnacentral:lncRNA from 1 species